AUACUUAGCAGAGAAAUUACCAUGAUCAACAAGAUUGUUUGUCUAGGUCAAGGCUUAUCUAUUGCUCUGUGGAUGUGCUAAUCCCUGCAAUUUUCCCAAGUGUGGGAAACCCAUCUGCAUGAUUUGUGGUAUUGAGGAGCUAUGUUUGUACUCUCCCUU